rnacentral:rRNA from 1 species
GGUUAAGCGACUAAGCGUACACGGUGGAUGCCCUGGCAGUCAGAGGCGAUGAAGGACGUGCUAAUCUGCGAUAAGCGUCGGUGAGGUGAUAUGAACCGUUAUAACCGGCGAUUUCCGAAUGGGGAAACCCAGUGUGUUUCGACACACUAUCAUUAACUGAAUCCAUAGGUUAAUGAGGCGAACCGGGGGAACUGAAACAUCUAAGUACCCCGAGGAAAAGAAAUCAACCGAGAUUCCCCCAGUAGCGGCGAGCGAACGGGGAGGAGCCCAGAGCCUGAAUC